rnacentral:tRNA from 1 species
UGAAAAACUAGUUAAACUAUAACAUAAGAUUGUCAUUCUUAAAUUACCACAGUGUUUUUCAA